UACGUAGGGUGCAAGCGUUGUCCGGAAUUAUUGGGCGUAAAGAGCUCGUAGGCGGUUUGUCGCGUCGAAUGUGAAAACCCGGGGCUCAACCCCGGGCCUGCAUUCGAUACGGGCAGACUAGAGUUCGGUAGGGGAGUCUGGAAUUCCUGGUGUAGCGGUGAAAUGCGCAGAUAUCAGGAGGAACACCGGUGGCGAAGGCGGGUCUCUGGGCAACAACUGACGCUGAGGAGCGAAAGCGUGGGGAGCAAACAGG
rnacentral:rRNA from 1 species